CAGAUUCUUGGCCUUCUUUUCCCGGUUCUUCCCAGAGUUGGGAAAAGCUGGGUUGAGAGGGUGAAAAAGGAUGAGG
rfam:Otolemur garnettii contig113665, whole genome shotgun sequence.